GCCUACGGGGCGCAGCAGUGGGGAAUAUUGCACAAUGGGGGAAACCCUGAUGCAGCGACGCCGCGUGAGCGAUGAAGUAUUUCGGUAUGUAAAGCUCUAUCAGCAGGGAAGAAAAUGACGGUGCCUGACUAAGAAGCCCCGGCUAACUACGUGCCAGCAGCCGCGGUAAUACGUAGGGGGCAAGCGUUAUCCGGAUUUACUGGGUGUAAAGGGAGCGUAGACGGCGAUACAAGCCAGAUGUGAAAGCCCGGGGCUCAACCCCGGGACUGCAUUUGGAACUGUAUAGCUAGAGUGUCGGAGAGGCA
rnacentral:rRNA from 1 species